UCUUUUAGACCUAUCAUUGUUCUGGGAAAGUAAAAGACAUUUAUGCUCCUGGAAGCCCUGUUGGAAAACCAUCUUCUUAGACUUUUAUCUGCCAUCCCAAGUAAGAAGGCCCUCACUAGAUGCUGAGAAGAUGCCAAUGCCACUGCCAUGCCCUUGGACUUCCCAGCCUCCAGAAUCAUGAGCCAAAUAAAUUUCUGUUCAUUGUAAGUUAUCCACAUUGAAAAUGAAUGGAGGAAGGAUGAAGAUGUGAGCUGAAGGGAGAGGAAGCUGACAACCCUGCACCAGGCUACCUACCAUCAGGACUUUUUCUUGGUUCCCAGGAACUCCUGGGGAAAAGACAUCAACUCAGUUGACCAAGCCCACCUUCUACGACAAUCAAACUUCCAAGGGUAUCAAAGAAGACAAAAGCAAGGAACCUCAUCCAAAGGACAGUAACUUCAAAGAUUGAAGGAACAUCUGCACACACAGGUGACGUGGAGUGAAUCAGCUCUUCUUUCAUCUUGGAAGUAAUAUCUUGACAUGCUGCAAACCAAUGAACCAUCAGAAACUUCACCGAGGUUUCAAACACUUGUACUAUGUGCACUACAACUAUGGACAGAGUGACUACUGGCAGAAAUGAACCCAUGUGAGAAUUCUGGGAUCGAAGAGAACAAGGAGCUAAAGGAAGUCAGUUGGAUGAUGUAGGAGGGAGGCUCCUGUUUUUCUGACAUCACUGCCAGAUGAAGCACCAAAUAAUUAGAAAGCUUUCACUCCAUUUGCCUUGGAUAGAUUUAAAGGCUAGGCACAGUCAUUUGUGUUAGUUAAAAUCUCUGAAACCUUAAAAAUAAAUAAAUAAAUAAAUAAAAUCA
rnacentral:lncRNA from 10 species